rnacentral:tRNA from 1 species
GCUAAUGUAGCUUAAGUAAAGCAUGACACUGAAGAUGUUAAAAUAGGCCCUAGUAAGCCUCACGAGCA